rnacentral:rRNA from 1 species
GAUGAACGCUGGCGGCGUGCCUAAUACAUGCAAGUCGAGCGAACAGACGAGGAGCUUGCUCCUCUGACGUUAGCGGCGGACGGGUGAGUAACACGUGGAUAACCUACCUAUAAGACUGGGAUAACUUCGGGAAACCGGAGCUAAUACCGGAUAAUAUAUUGAACCGCAUGGUUCAAUAGUGAAAGACGGUUUUGCUGUCACUUAUAGAUGGAUCCGCGUCGGAUUAGCUAGUUGGUAAGGUAACGGCUUACCAAGGCAACGAUGCGUAGCCGACCUGAGAGGGUGAUCGGCCACACUGGAACUGAGACACGGUCCAGACUCCUACGGGAGGCAGCAGUAGGGAAUCUUCCGCAAUGGGCGAAAGCCUGACGGAGCAACGCCGCGUGAGUGAUGAAGGUCUUCGGAUCGUAAAACUCUGUUAUUAGGGAAGAACAAAUGUGUAAGUAACUAUGCACGUCUUGACGGUACCUAAUCAGAAAGCCACGGCUAACUACGUG